AUGAUGCUACUGCAACAUGUCACCAGUGACGAAAGAGGGGAGGACGGAUCGAGGAAGCGACACGAAUGCCCGGCGCAAGUAUUCCCUGGGGGUGCAGCUGGCCAUGCAUGGGAGGUGCGGCUCAUACAAGCUCUGCGAGGAUCCAAGUGGCGAUGUAGGGUGUGCAUCCAUGCAGGGAAGGAUCGGCUCCACCCAGCUCCACGAGGAUCCCAUGAUGAUGAUGCAGCCUGUAGGGAAGGAGAGGCUCCAGCUGGCUUGAGGAGAAGGUCCCCCAAGGGUAUCUGCAGGCGGACGUCAUGGCGGCGUGAGGAUGGAGAUCGUCAUGGCGGCGUGAGGAUGGAGAUCAUCAAUACAGAUAGAAAAGUACUGGAAGUUUUUUUUUUGUAUCUAGUUUAG
rnacentral:rRNA from 1 species